AGAGUUUGAUCCUGGCUCAGGACGAACGCGGGCGGCGUGCUUAACACAUGCAAGUCGAGCGGGGAUACGAGCCUGAUCGUUUCGGUGAGAAGGCGAGUGUCCUAGCGGCGGACGGGUGAGUAACGCGUGGGCAACCUGCCCUCAAGACCGGGAUACCGACUCGAAAGGGUUGUUAAUACCGGAUGAGGUGGACGGAUCGCAUGAUCUGUUCAGCAAAGGAGGAAUCCGCUUGAGGAGGGGCCUGCGUUCCAUUAGCUGGUUGGUGAGGCAGCGGCUCACCAAGGCGACGAUGGAUAGCCGGCCUGAGAGGGUGGCCGGCCACACUGGGACUGAGAUACGGCCCAGACUCCUACGGGGGGCAGCAGUGGGGAAUAUUGCACAAUGGGCGAAAGCCUGAUGCAGCGACGCCGCGUGAGGGAAGAAGGUUUUCGGAUCGUAAACCUCUGUCCAGAGGGAAGAAGGAAGUGACGGUACCUUUGGAGGAAGCCCCGGCUAACUACGUGCCAGCAGCCGCGGUAAUACGUAGGGGGCGAGCGUUGUCCGGAAUUAUUGGGCGUAAAGGGCGCGUAGGCGGUGACACAAGUCAGGUGAUAAAGGCACGGGCUCAACCGGUGUUAGGCACUUGAUACUGUGUUGCUAGAGUGCAGGAGAGGGGAGUGGGAUUCCAGGUGUAGCGGUGAAAUGCGUAGAUAUCUGGAAGAACACCAGUGGCGAAGGCGGCUCUCUGGACUGCAACUGACGCUGAGGCGCGAAAGCUGGGGGAGCAAACAGGAUUAGAUACCCUGGUAGUCCCAGCCGUAAACGAUGAACACUAGGUGUAGGGGGUAUCGACCCCCCCUGUGCCGGAGCUAACGCAAUAAGUGUUCCGCCUGGGGAGUACGGCCGCAAGGUUGAAACUCAAAUGAAUUGACGG
rnacentral:rRNA from 1 species